rnacentral:rRNA from 1 species
GCGCGAAACCUCCGCAAUGUGAGAAAUCGCGACGGGGGGACCCCAAGUGCCAUUCUUAACGGGAUGGCUUUUCUUAAGUGUAAAAAGCUUUUGGAAUAAGAGCUGGGCAAGACCGGUGCCAGCCGCCGCGGUAACACCGGCAGCUCUAGUGGUAGCCAUUUUUAUUGGGCCUAAAGCGUUCGUAGCCGGUUUAAUAAGUCUCUGGUGAAAUCCCGUAGCUUAACUAUGGGAAUUGCUGGAGAUACUAUUAGACUUGAGGUCGGGAGAGGUUAGAGGUACUCCCAGGGUAGGGUGAAAUCCUGUAAUCCUGGGAGGACCACCUGUGGCGAAGGCGUCUAACUGGAACGAACCUGACGGUGAGGGACGAAAGCUAGGGGCGCGAACCGGAUUAGAAACCCC